AGGAGCUUACAUGUCAAGGACAGAACUGUGUCAUGUGAUCUCUGGCUGCAGUGGAGGGGACACGGGUUCAAUCCCUGGUCUGGGAAGAUCCCACAUGCCGUGGAGCAACUAAGCCCGUGCGCCACAACUACUGAGCCUGCGCUCUAGAGCCCAUCAACCACAACUACUGAGCCUGCAUGACACAACUACUGAAGCCUGCGUGCCUAGAGCCUGUGCUCUGCAACAAGAGAAGCCACUGCAAUUAGAAGCUUAUGCACCGCAACAAAGAGUAGCCCCCGCUCUCCACAACUAGAGAAAGCCCGUGGGCAGCAAAGAAGCUUAUUGGGUUUCCCUUCAAACACCUGUGAUUCAGAUUGCCAGAAGCUGUUACCCCUUAUACCCAUGAAGCGUGGCCCACCAG